CCCCUCUCAGCAUCACACCUAGAGAGUUUCUAGAACUCUACCAGUCUCGGCUAUAGGAGGGAGAGUCAAGCAGAGGCCUGUCCAUUCCAUUCCUAGCUUGGGCAGUGGCUAGCAAGUGUAAGGCAAUCUGCUACAAAU